GAUGAAGAACGCAGUGAAAUGCGAUACGUAGUGUGAAUUGCAGAAUUCAGUGAAUCAUCGAAUCUUUGAACGCACAUUGCACCUCUCGGUAUUCUGGGAGGUAUGCCUGUUCGAGCGUCAUUUGUACCCUCAAGCUCUGCUUGGUGUUGGGUGUUUGUUCCGCCUCUGUGUGUGAACUCGCCUCAAAACAAUUGGCAGCCGGCGUACUUGUUUCGGAGCGCAGCACAUUUUGCGAUCCAGAUCAACGUACAGCGGCAUCCAAGAAGCCUUAUUUAACGCUCUUGACCUCGGAUCAGGUAGGGAUACCCGCUGAACUUAAGCAUAUCAAUAAGCGGAGGA
rnacentral:misc_RNA from 1 species